rnacentral:rRNA from 1 species
AAGGGAAUGAGCGGCGGACGGGUGAGUAACACGUAAGGAACCUGCCCCAAGGAUUGGGAUAACUCCGAGAAAUCGGAGCUAAUACCGAAUAGUUCUUCAGACCGCAUGGUCUGAUGAUGAAAGGCGCUYCGGCGUCACCUUGGGAUGGCCUUGCGGUGCAUUAGCUAGUUGGUGGGGUAAUGGCCCACCAAGGCGACGAUGCAUAGCCGACCUGAGAGGGUGAUCGGCCACACUGGGACUGAGACACGGCCCAGACUCCUACGGGAGGCAGCAGUAGGGAAUCUUCCACAAUGGACGAAAGUCUGAUGGAGCAACGCCGCGUGAGUGAUGAAGGUUUUCGGAUCGUAAAACUCUGUUGUAAGGGAAGAACAGGUAUGAGAGGUAAUGCUCAUGCUAUGACGGUACCUURCGAGAAAGCCACGGCUAACUACGUGCCAGCAGCCGCGGUAAUACGUAGGUGGCAAGCGUUGUCCGGAAUUAUUGGGCGUAAAGCGCGCGCAGGCGGCCUUUUAAGUCUGAUGUGAAAGCCCCCGGCUCAACCGGGGAGGGUCAUUGGAAACUGGAAGGCUUGAGUACAGAAGAGAAGAGUGGAAUUCCAUGUGUAGCGGUGAAAUGCGUAGAGAUGUGGAGGAACACCAGUGGCGAAGGCGACUCUUUGGUCUGUAACUGACGCUGAGGCGCGAAAGCGUGGGGAGCAAACAGGAUUAGAUACCCUGGUAGUCCACGCCG